rnacentral:rRNA from 1 species
AUUGAACGCUGGCGGCAGGCCUAACACAUGCAAGUCGAGCGAGCGGCGGACGGGUGAGUAAUGUAUGGGGACUGCCCGAUAGAGGGGGCUAACUACUGGAAACGGUGGCUAAUACCGCAUACUAUCGGAUAACCCAUAUGGGAUUAGCUAGUAGGUGGGGUAAAGGCUCACCUGGGCGACGAUCUCUAGCUGGUCUGAGAGGCUGAUCAGCCACACUGGGACGGAGAAACGGCCCAGACUCGUACGGAGGCAGCAGUGGGGAAUAUUGCAAAAGGGGCGCAAGCCUGAUGCAGCCCGGCCGGUUGUAUGAAGAAGGCUUUAGGGUUGUAAAGUACUUUCAGCGGGGAGGCGUUACCCGCAGAAGAAGCACCGGGUAACACCGUGCCAGCAGCCGCGGUAAUA